GCUGGAUCGUCACGCAGAAAGCUGUCGGAUAGGUCACACGCUCAUUUGGGCGGUUUCUUUAUCCAAAACACUACUCAGCUAGUGUCUCCCGCCCAUCCUCCUCCUCGAACCAAAAGAAAAAGAUCUGUGCGUCAGUUGUUCGACUUGACAUCCUUGAUUAAACUGAAAAUGAAAUACCCAUUUAACCUGCUGCCAACGCUCGCUGAUGUUGAAUUCAUUUACUGCCCUUUACUUGGGGCCCUCGGUUUGCCAAUUUAUCAGAACAUCAAGAUUUCAUUCCCAGCACAUUUCAU